AUUUUCAGCUGAGUCUCCGCACUGACUUUCUUCACAGGCCAUUUACAUAAGCAUCUCUGCAACAUAAUUACUGGUCCAGUCCUCAGCUGGCUCCAGACCACAAAUUAAAAGGGAACACCCGCACAGGCCACCACAUCAAGCCUGCGAUUCCUCCAGAAGAAACUCAAGAACGUGCUCCCUCUUGCCUGAGGGAGGGGAGGAGGCUUCUGGGAGAAGGUGGCCUGAAUGUGUCUCUCCAUCCUAUGACUCAUCCCUGGAGGAAUCCCCCUCAGCAGGAAAGGGACAGACAGGCCCCCAGCUGAGGAUGGAGGCAGCCUUAUGGAGGGCAAAAGCACAGGGUGCCGAUGAACUGCUGUGUGCCCUUGAGGAUAUCACCAGCCUUCUCUGAGCCUCACUCUCCUGAGGCAGCACUGUGGAUGCAAAUGCAGCUCUGAUGGGUCGUCCACAGAACAAAGUCUGCUUGUUAAUUCCACAGAUCCUGUCAG
rnacentral:lncRNA from 1 species